rnacentral:lncRNA from 1 species
GGGGGAUACAAGCAUUCAGUCCAUAAGCCUGCCAAACAAAUUAUCACAACUUUGCAGCUUAAAACACACUCAUUUAUUACUCCACACCUUUUUAGAUAAGUACAGACAGUUCGACUGGAUUCCCUGCUCAGGGUCUCAUCAGGCUGAAGUCUAAGGUGUUGUCUGGGUGGGUGUCUCAUCUGGAGGCUGUGGGGAGGAGUCUAUUCAGAUUCAGAUCUGUGUGGCCAUAAAGUGGAGGGCUUCACUUUCUUUCUGGCUGUUGCUUGAGAGCAACUCUCAGUCCCUGGAGGACACUCAUAGUCCUUGGCAUGUGGCCCCUUCCAUAUUUAAAGCCAGCAGUCACUCCUGGGCUUGAAGUCUUUCACUUCCUCAUCUGUUACCAGCCAGAGAAAACUGCUUUUAAAGGUCUCAUGUGAUUCGAUCAGGCCCACCCAGACAAUCUCCCUUUUGCCAUAUACGAUAACAUCGCAUCACCAUAGGAGCGAUAUCUCCUCACAUUCGGAUUCCCUGCACCCUCAAAAGGAGGUGACUGUACAGAGGUGAAGGUCAUUCUUAGAACUCUGCCUACCAUGCUCUCACAGAAGAGAUUGUGCGUUUGGAUGAAGCUUCAGCCCGUGCCAAUGAGGUUCCAUCCUCUUGUGAUCUUCCCUCCCUGCCUGCCAGUUGAUGAGAACUUCCAUCUGCGCCCAUGAAUUUGAGUCUGCCCGUGAACUUCCCUUCCCGACAGCCUGUGGAUCUCAGACUUGCUUAGCCAACCCCACAUUUGUGAAAGUCAAUUUCCUAUUGAUGCUUUCAUUACAGGGGCUUCCAAGUUCAGGUACAGAACAAUGUAAAAUGCAUAACUUCAGCUGCAGCCGUUAUUCCAGAGUUCUGAAGAGCAGCCAGCAGAAAUUGGUCAAGAGUCCAUUUGGCCCACACCCUCCACCCGUCUACCACAGAGGCGGACUGCUCAUAGAACACAUCACAGAAUGCUUUAAAUGUUCUGCCAGUUUUCAGCUCUCACAAAGCAAGAUCAUGAAGACACACAUGAGCAAAGACAUGUCAAAGUGCUUUGAAACAUACUUUCUCUACAGAAUCGAAUUGCAUUCCUGUUGUGAGAGGAAAUGGAAAACAUGA